rnacentral:snRNA from 1 species
AUGCCUUAAACUGAUGAGUAAGGAAAAUAACGGCGCGGGGUGACGCCCGCGUCCUCGUGCAACUAACGAGAUGAAUUUUUGGCGGGACCAGGUCUGACCGCGGAGGUGACUCACCUACUUCGUGAGAUGCCUCGUGGGACCAGGACCUUCCC